AGUAACGCGCGAGGAACCUGCCUCAAAGAGGGGGACAACAGUUGGAAACGACUGCUAAUACCGCAUAAGCCCACGGCUCGGCAUCGAGCAGAGGGAAAAGGAGCGAUCCGCUUUGAGAUGGCCUCGCGUCCGAUUAGCUAGUUGGUGAGGUAACGGCCCACCAAGGCGACGAUCGGUAGCCGGACUGAGAGGUUGAACGGCCACAUUGGGACUGAGACACGGCCCAG
rnacentral:rRNA from 1 species